rnacentral:rRNA from 1 species
ACGUAAUAGAUACCCGGGUAGUCCACGCCGUAAACGAUGAGUGCUAAGUGUUAGAGGGUUUCCGCCCUUUAGUGCUGAAAGUUAAACGCAUUAAAGCACUCCGCCUGGGGAGUACGGCCGCAAGGCUGAAACUCAAAGGAAUUGACGGGGGCCCGCACAAGCGGUGGAGCAUGUGGUUUAAUUCGAAGCAACGCGAAGAACCUUACCAGGUCUUGACAUCCUCUGACAACCCUAGAGAUAGGGCUUCCCCUUCGGGGGCAGAGUGACAGGUGGUGCAUGGUUGUCGUCAGCUCGUGUCGUGAGAUGUUGGGUUAAGUCCCGCAACGAGCGCAACCCUUGAUCUUAGUUGCCAUCAUUAAGUUGGGCACUCUAAGGUGACUGCCGGUGACAAACCGGAGGAAGGUGGGGAUGACGUCAAAUCAUCAUGCCCCUUAUGACCUGGGCUACACACGUGCUACAAUGGACGGUACAAAGAGCUGCAAGACCGCGAGGUGGAGCUAAUCUCAUAAAACCGUUCUCAGUUCGGAUUGUAGG